rnacentral:rRNA from 1 species
UACGGAGGGUGCAAGCGUUAUUCGGAAUUACUGGGCGUAAAGCGCGUGUAGGCGGCUUUGUAAGUCAGGGGUGAAAUCCCACGGCUCAACCGUGGAACUGCCUUUGAAACUGCGAGGCUUGAAUCCUGGAGAGGGUGGCGGAAUUCCUGGUGUAGGAGUGAAAUCCGUAGAUAUCAGGAGGAACACCGGUGGCGAAGGCGGCCACCUGGACAGGUAUUGACGCUGAGGUGCGAAAGUGUGGGGAGCAAACAGGAUUAGAUACCCGUGUAGUCCCUGAG